UGUGUAGACGGCUUUUUAAGUCCGCUGUCAAAUUCUCCGGCUUAACCGGAGGUCGGCAGUAGAAACUGGAAAGCUAGAGGGUGGAAGAGAGAAGUGGAAUUCCCGGAGUAGCGGUAAAAUGCGUAGAUCUCGGGAGGAACACCAAUGGCGAAGGCAGCUUCUUGGUCCAUACCUGACGUUGAGGCACGAAAGCGUGGGGAGCAAACAGGAUUAGAUACCCUGGUAGUCC
rnacentral:rRNA from 1 species